rfam:Amazona aestiva scaffold_556, whole genome shotgun sequence.
GCCCAGCUAGCUCAGCCGGUAGAGUAUGAGACUCUUAAUCUCAGGGUCAUGGGUGCAUGCCCCAUGUUGGGCG